UACGUAGGGGGCAAGCGUUGUCCGGAAUCAUUGGGCGUAAAGAGCGUGUAGGCGGCCCGAUAAGUCCGCUGUGAAAGUCCGGGGCUCAACCCUGGAAUGCCGGUGGAUACUGUCGGGCUCGAAUCCGGAAGAGGUGAGUGGAAUUCCUGGUGUAGCGGUGAAAUGCGCAGAUAUCAGGAGGAACACCAAUGGCGAAGGCAGCUCGCUGGGACGGUACUGACGCUCAGGCGCGAAAGCGUGGGGAGCAAACAGG
rnacentral:rRNA from 1 species